rnacentral:rRNA from 1 species
AACGUAGGGGACAAGCGUUAUCCGGAUUUACUGGGCGUAAAGCGCCCGUAGGCGGCCUGACAAGUUGGACGUGAAAGCUCCUGGCUUAACUGGGAGAGGCCGUUCAAAACUGUCAAGCUAGAGUCUGGAAGAGGAGAGCGGAAUUCCCGGUGUAGUGGUGGAAUGCGUAGAGAUCGGGAGGAACACCAGUGGCGAAGGCGGCAUCCUGGACCGGUAUUGACGCUGAUGCGCGAAAGCCAGGGGAGCAAACGGG